rnacentral:rRNA from 1 species
CCUACGGGUGACAGCAGUGAGGAAUAUUGGUCAAUGGACGCAAGUCUGAACCAGCCAUGCCGCGUGCAGGAAGACGGCCCUAUGAGUUGUAAACUGCUUUUGUACGAGGGUAAACGCAGAUACGUGUAUCUUUCUGAACGUAUCUUACGAAUAAGGAUCGGCUAACUCCGUGCCAGCAGCCGCGGUAAUACGGAGGAUUCAAGCGUUAUCCGGAUUUAUUGGGUUUAAAGGGUGCGUAGGCGGUCGGAUAAGUUAGAGGUGAAAUCCCGAGGCUCAACUUCGGAAUUGCCUCUGAUACUGUUAGGCUAGAGAGUAGUUGCGGUAGGCGGAAUGUAUGGUGUAGCGGUGAAAUGCGUAGAGAUCAUACAGAACACCGAUUGCGAAGGCAGCUUACCAAGCUACGUCUGACGUUGAGGCACGAAAGCGUGGGGAGCAAACAGGAUUAGAUACCCUUGUAGUC